rnacentral:tRNA from 2 species
GGAAAGGUGGCAGAGUGGUUUAAUGCAUCGGUUUUGAAAACCGACGUAGCUGAGAGGCUACCGAGGGUUCGACUCCCUCUCUUUCCG